rnacentral:rRNA from 1 species
GACGAACGCUGGCGGCGUGCUUAACACAUGCAAGUCGAACGAAGUGGCGAACGGGUUAGUAACGCGUAAUCAACCUGCCCUUCAGAGGGGGACCACAGUUGGAAACGACUGCUAAUACCACCUACUGCAGGAGGGGAUGGAGUCUGAUUAGCUAGUUGGAGGGGUAACGGCCCACCAAGGCGAUGAUCAGUAGCCGGGCUUGGAGGGUGAACGGGUCAAGUGGGACUGAGUCACGGCCCAGAAUCCCACGGGAGGGAGCAGGGGGGGAUCUUCCGCCAUGGACGAAAGUCUGACGGAGCAACGGCGCGUGAGUGAUGACGGCCUUCGGGUUGGAAAGCUCUGUUAAUCGGGACGCGGUACCGGAAUAGAAAGCCACGGCUAACUACGUGCCAGCAGCCGCGGUAAUUC